UCCUGGUUCCAUGACGCUUGUCCCCAUCACUGCCUGCCAUUGGCUGCUCCCCCCGACACCGGUUGUUUUCAUCCGCGCACGAGGAGAAGCAGCUGCGGCGGAGCGGGGAGACAGCUAAGUAGAUUCAGUGUGAGGGGCCUGGGCAUAUGGGGGCAUUUCUUAGUCUCAGAUAACCCCUUUAAGGUUGCAGCUGCCAGAGCUCUGUGUGCUCAGUAUGUGGCUUCUAUU